rnacentral:rRNA from 1 species
GUGUCAGCAGCCGCGGUAAAACGUAGGGCUCGAGCGUUAUCCGGAUUUACUGGGCGUAAAGCGCAUGCAGGCGGCCUUGUAAGUCGGAUGUGAAAUCUCCCGGCUCAACUGGGAGGCGUCAUUCGAUACUGCAAGGCUUGAGGGCAGGAGAGGGGAGUGGAAUUCCCGGUGUAGUGGUGAAAUGCGUAGAUAUCGGGAGGAACACCAGUGGCGAAGGCGGCUCCCUGGCCUGUACCUGACGCUAAGAUGCGAAAGCGUGGGGGGCGAACGGGAUUAGAAACCCCGGUAGUCCACGCCGUAAACGAUGCGGACUAGGUGUGGGAGGUAUUGACCCCUUCCGUGCCGUAGCUAACGCGUUAAGUCCGCCGCCUGGGGACUACGGCCGCAAGGCUAAAACUCAAAGGAAUUGGCGGGG